rnacentral:snRNA from 1 species
AUACCUACCUGGCAGGGGAGAUGCCAUGAUCAUGAAGAUGGUUUUCCCAGGGCGAGGCUUAUCCAUUAUACUCCAGAUGUGCUGACCCCUGUGAUUUCCCCAAAUCUCCAAAGUGGGAAACUCAACUGUAUAAUUGGUGGUAGUGGGGACUGCAUUUGCACUCUCCCC